AAUGCAAAGAAAAAGGAAGUUGAUAAGGCCUUGGUCCCAAAUAAAAGCGAAGGAAAAGCGGGUAAAUCUUGGCAGGCCCAAAUUAAAGAGUUCCAAAGAAAAAGAAACUACUUUGCUGCUUUUGACAGUUUGACCCCAAAUACCGUUUGCCAUACACAGUGAUCUGCGCAGGAAAGCUCUAAUCAACGAACAGAUUGAUCGCAGCUUAGAUUUGUUAUUGAAUCAAUUUCUUUCCACAUCGCGAUUUUCCGAUCAGUUUGGUUGCCGAGAAAAUGAUAGAAAGGAAACGAAAAUCUGCAGAUUCUCAGUGCAUCUGGAAUUAUAUUUUCCCUAUUGAAUCCCAAUAGAAUAAUCUAAUAGCUGAAUCGAUUUUCCUAUGAAUAUUUUGAAUUUGUAUAAACUAGGGUUUGUGGAACUCUGAGCAGAGCUAAGAUUUUUAGGUUAACGUUGUUAAGGCGUGAGAGAUGGCGUUUAUAAUGGAGUUUGCUGAGAAUCUGGUACUGAUGCUUAUGGAGGACCCUAAAGAGAGGGAUAGGAAGUUCAGGGAGCACGUGUAUGCGGUGAAAGACCAAGGAGAUGUGGGCGCUACCUCUCCGUCCCUACGGAUUUUGGACCCUUGAACGCCACAACUCGCAGCUCCGUUGGGAUGCCCAGAUUAGCCAGGUUGCAGGCCGGAGGGACCCCUAUGAUGAUCUCCUCCAACACAGCUAUGAUCCCGUCACCCCCCAAAACUAAUUGAGUGCGUAUAAAGUUUGUUUUUUUUACUGUUUUGAAGCCAUUCUGUGUUUCUAAUGCAUCGUUCGAACUGUGUGGAAGUUGUUGUAUUGUUGUCAGUCGCUUCCGAGAUAAUGUAGGUUGAAUAUGUCUUCAUGCUAAUUGCUCCAAGGCACGUCCUUAGGAGAGUUGAUAUUGGCGUUUGCGGUAGCUUUGUGCUAUAUGUUUGGGUCAUUGCUGCAAGUUUCAUGUUUUUUAUUCUAAAUUUAGCCGGUGAAGGUCUUUAACAAACUGAGACAAAAGUAGAUGUAAAUUUACAUAGACGCUAGCGAAGCUAAGUAGCUAUCCACAUUUCUUCAGUUCA